rnacentral:sRNA from 2 species
CCAGUUACCCAGAAGUUGAGGCUCAGGUUUCUAAGCUGAUAGCUCCCUCCUCUCCCUCCCCUUCCGUCUCCGCAACCCCCUCCGCAACCGCAACCACCACCCCCCCAACAUCCGCACAAUCCCUAACACCCAAAAAAACACGACGGGUUAGCAAACUGAAAGCCCGGAAGACGGCAAUGCACAUCACUCCUGAAGCUAUUUUACAUCUUCGCCAACUAACCGACCAGCCCGAUCCUAAGUUGGUUCGCGUUGGCGUGAAGAAUAGGGGAUGCUCAGGGUUAUCUUACCAUCUAGAAUACGUGGAUAAACCCGCGCCAUUUGAUGAGGUGGUGGAGCAAGACGGAGUCAAGAUCUUGAUUGACAGCAAGGCCUUGUUCAGCAUAAUUGGCACUGAAAUGGACUGGCAAGAGGACAGCCUAGCCAGCCGGUUUGUAUUCAAAAAUCCAAAUAUAAAGGACCAAUGCGGCUGCGGCGAAUCGUUCAUGGUGUAAAGAUUUAUCUACAAUGAAAGAAAUUGGUUGGACUUUGUUUUUAUAGGUACAUACACAAACGUUAUAUCUCCGGGGUGGAUUGAUCAUCCGGAGUUUGGGAUGAGAUUUCUU